rnacentral:rRNA from 1 species
UACGUAGGGUGCAAGCGUUGUCCGGAAUUAUUGGGCGUAAAGAGCUCGUAGGCGGUUUGUCGCGUCGGCUGUGAAAUCUCGGGGCUUAACCCCGAGCCUGCAGUCGAUACGGGCAGACUUGAGUUCGGUAGAGGAGACUGGAAUUCCUGGUGUAGCGGUGAAAUGCGCAGAUAUCAGGAGGAACACCGGUGGCGAAGGCGGGUCUCUGGGCCGAAACUGACGCUGAGGAGCGAAAGCGUGGGGAGCGAACAGG